UCAUGGCUCAGGACGAACGCUGGCGGCGUGCUUAACACAUGCAAGUCGAACGAUGAAGCUUAGCUUGCUAGGUGGAUUAGUGGCGAACGGGUGAGUAACACGUAGGUAAUCUGCCCUGCACUUUGGGAUAAGCCUGGGAAACUGGGUCUAAUACCGAAUAGGACACACUAUCUUUACGGUGGUGUGUGGAAAGCUUUUGCGGUGUGGGAUGAGCCUGCGGCCUAUCAGCUUGUUGGUGGGGUAAUGGCCUACCAAGGCGUCGACGGGUAGCCGGCCUGAGAGGGUGUACGGCCACAUUGGGACUGAGACACGGCCCAGACUCCUACGGGAGGCAGCAGUGGGGAAUAUUGCACAAUGGGCGAAAGCCUGAUGCAGCGACGCCGCGUGGGGGAUGAAGGCCUUCGGGUUGUAAACUCCUUUCGCUAGGGACGAAGAGUUACAUUGACGGUACCUGGAGAAGAAGCACCGGCUAACUACGUGCCAGCAGCCGCGGUAAUACGUAGGGUGCGAGCGUUGUCCGGAAUUACUGGGCGUAAAGAGCUCGUAGGUGGUUUGUCGCGUCGUCUGUGAAAUCCCGGGGCUUAACUCCGGGCGUGCAGGCGAUACGGGCAUAACUUGAGUGCUGUAGGGGAGACUGGAAUUCCUGGUGUAGCGGUGAAAUGCGCAGAUAUCAGGAGGAACACCAA
rnacentral:rRNA from 1 species